GCCAAGAUAGCUCAACUGGUAGAGCACUAAAAGUCCAUUCCGGCAACUUAUCCCUCUGGGGUCGAAUGUGAAUGGGUUAUCGACUUGUAAUCGAGGGUUCUUGGUUCGAAUCCAAGUCUUGGCA
rnacentral:tRNA from 1 species